GAGAGUAAACAGUGCGUGAAACCGCUCAGAGGUAAACGGGUGGAGUUGAACUGCGAUCCUUGGGAAUUCAGCUGAUGAGCAUGAUUUGUGCUUGGGCAUAUUGACCGCCUUUCAGUGUCUGCUUAGCUGCGGGUGCCUGCCUCUGGUGGGUAUGUGUGGUGCGCUUAUCAUGUGCCGCACGCAUUGGAGGGUGUAUGAGUCUGCUUGUCGGUGCACUUUCUCAGGGUGUUCACCACGACCGGCACUGCUGUCUGUCUGCUUUGGUCAAACUGAUCAGGUCUGAUUAACGUUGGGCUUGGUUGGGUUGGCAGGUGACUCACUGGUCCAUUCUGUGGGCUAUGAGUGUUACUAGCCGGCCUUAGUGGAUCUGUACGGUGUGUCGGAGACGGCGGCUUUGCAUAUGCGCUCUGUUCUUCAGGCGUGGUUGAGUCUGGUCGACUUGUUGCUAGUUUCGGCUGGUCAGUUGAUGGCUUGAUCAUGUUCAGUUGGCAGUGGUGUGUGUGUCUUAGUUUGGGCCAAUAGUCUGUGGUGUUGUGGUAGACUAUCCACCUG
rnacentral:rRNA from 1 species